CUUCAUAAGUGACCUGGGGAGCCCCAGCCUGGUUAAAGCAACCGUAGUUCCUCUGUGGAUGAGAGCAAGGGCUCCGGAAUGGUGCCCUUCCAUGCGUUCUGUGUCGGGGUCUGGAGAUGCCCCUGUGCUCAAGGACAGCCUGUUACAAAUUGCUUUCCGGGAGGUCCCUUGUCCUGCUCUAGCACUCAGGGCUUUAUUUACAGAAUGGCUGUUCUUGGCAGCUUCCUCAGCCUCCCAGACUCUUCCCCUACUUUGGAUCAUUGGGCUCUAUUUUUACUCAGAAAUGAGAAGUUUCCCAUGUUUGAAAAUAGAUGCCGUGUAGAGGACUGUUUCGCUCCUGUUUCUGCCUGCCCAGGAAGCUCCCCUCCGUCCUCCUCCUCCUGGAGACAGCGGUGCCAGGGCCGCGGGGCAGGCAUGUGAUACCAGGACCUGUGGGGAUCUGCCCGGGACUGGGAGAGGGAAGCUCUCCUUCCUCUGGGGCUGCUAAGUGGAGGUGCUGGAGUUGCCUGGCUAUCUCCCUCACUGCCUGAAGCAAGUUUCCCAUCAGCAGAUAUGAGAACAGGGGCAGCGCAUGUGUGGAAGCAGGAAGGGGGCAGCGAUGAUGACACGUGUGCGCCUUUGAGCCCCCGGAUCCACCUCCACCAGGCCUUCCAGCCACAGGAGCCUUUCGUUCCCUUUUUUGCUUAACCUAGCUGGAGCUGGGUUUCUUGCUCCUGACCGAUACCAUGAAAGCCUGGUUCCUUCCCUGGGUUCUAGGUUGGGCCCAGCUGCAGGUGCCUUCCAAAUUGCCUCCCUGAGACACCCAAUCUCAGGACUGUGACGUUGCUCCCGGUAGGCAGCUGGGGGAGGGAGUUGAUGUACCUGCCUUACACCAAAAACCCUAGCUGGAAAAACUGAGGGAGCGGGGAGCACCUCUCUGCUGAUCUAGGGUGUGCUCAGUGCAGGUCUGCAGACCCCUGGGUGACAGCUUAUGGCGUCUCUUUCAGGGUCAAGUUUACAGCCUCAGUUUAUAAGUGUUUGCUCUGGUGACACGAGAAGAGGCAAAAAAGAAAAAAAGAAAAGAAGACACCACCGAGAGGCAGGUUGAGCCUCAGUCAGUGCCUGAAUUUACAGCACCUGCCCUUUUGAUGUGCAGCUCGUAUUCCAAACUACCGCCUGGUUUCUCUGCCACGGAGCCUGAAUACAUGGACAAGAAUUAUUACUCCUAGUCUAGUCUUGGAGGACCUGAAGCUCAGAAGAAUCAGACAACCUACACAAGGAAAACACAGUGAGCUGAUGACAACACUGGAUUGGGCCUCAUGCCUCCCAAUCUCAUGUCACUUCCUUGUAGAGUGUCAUUGUAUUCAUUUUCUAUUGCUACUAUAACAAAUUACCACAUAUUUAGUGGCUUAAAGCAAUAAAAUUUAUAAUCUAACAGUUCCGAAGUUAGAAUCUCAUUGGGCUAAAAUCAAGAUGUUGGCAAGGCUAUGUCCUUCUGAGGCUCUGAGGGAAUCCAUUUUCUUACCUGUUGCAGCUUCUGAGGCCAAUGCAUUCCUUGGUUCAUGGUCCCUUCUUUCUUCAAAACCAGCAUGCCCAGUCAAGUCAUCCUCACAUCAUGUUACCCUGACACUCACUCUUUGUCUCCUGCUUCCACAUUUAAGGAUCCUUGUGAUUGCACUGAGCCCACCUGGAUAAUGCAGGGCAAUUUCUCUGUUUUCAGGUCAGCUGAUGAGCAACCUUAAUUCUCCUUUGUCAUGUACCGUAACAUACUCACAGGUUCAGAGGGUUAGUUCUUGGACAUCUUUGGGGGACCAUAUGCUGCCUACCAGGGUCAUGCACCUUUUCCCUGUGGUAGGAGAUGGUGAUGAUAACCAUAGUAAUAGUGGCAGUUAGGAUUCUAGUCCAGAUGAGUCUUGCUUGAAGCUACAGGUCAGUACCUUUCUAAUUUUCAACUGUGUUUGAGCCUUAUCAGCCUUUAACAUAGUUGGUGCCCCACAUUUUCCAGCCUUCCAGAAUUACCCUUUACUUAAGUAUUCAAAGAACAUAACACGCUCUAAGGCCAGAGGAAUUCCAGCUCUCUCCCAAAUGUUGCCAAGAAUUUCUGGAUGCACAUCCACCCUCAUGUCAGUGGUCUUGUCUCACUCCAUAUUGCUCCCAACUUCUUCUGGAUCCUUAUGGUUCCCCCAUUACAAGCUCUAUACAUGGUCCCCUCCCCCUGAGGUGGUUUGCUUCCAAACAGGGACCCUCCCAUGAUUCCAGAGGUAGGGCUACCUGGAGAGAAUCAGGUUAGAAUGUUUAAUCAAUUCCUCUGCAGGCCUGAAGAUCCUUUGUAUGGGCUUUACAAUACAGGAGAAUAGAAC